rnacentral:rRNA from 1 species
UACGUAGGGCGCAAGCGUUAUCCGGAAUUAUUGGGCGUAAAGAGCUCGUAGGCGGUUUGUCGCGUCUGCCGUGAAAGUCCGGGGCUCAACUCCGGAUCUGCGGUUGGGUACGGGCAGACUAGAGUGAUGUAGGGGAGACUGGAAUUCCUGGUGUAGCGGUGGAAAUGCGCAGAUAUCAGGAGGAACACCGGCUGGCGAAGGCGGGUCUCUGGGCAGUAACUGACGCUGAGGAGCGAAAGCGUGGGAGCGAACAGG